AAGUCGUAACAAGGUUUCCGUAGGUGAACCUGCGGAAGGAUCAUUAUUGUACAAUGGAGGUGCUGGGGUUGUCGCUGACCUUUAAAAGGGUCGUGCACACCUCGGUGCUUUCAACCAUAAAUCCAUUUCACCCCUUUGUGCAUCACCGCGUGGGGGUCCCUUUUAGUUAGUUCUGAAGGGGGCUUUCACGUUUUUACAAACACACCCUUUUAAUGCAAUAUGUAGAAUGUCUUACUUUUUGCGAUCACACGCAAUCAAUACAACUUUCAACAACGGAUCUCUUGGCUCUC
rnacentral:misc_RNA from 1 species